CCACAACGGGUGGAGCCUGCGGUUUAAUUGGACUCAACGCCGGACAGCUCACCGGGUAGGACAGCGAUAUGAUAGCCGGGCUGAAGACCUUGCUUGAUCAGCUGAGAGGAGGUGCAUGGCCGUCGUCAGUUCGUACUGUGAAGCAUCCUGUUAAGUCAGGCAACGAGCGAGACCCACGCCAACAGUUGCCAGCAUGUUCUCCGGAAUGAUGGGGACACUGUUGGGACCGCCUCUGCUAAAGAGGAGGAAGGAAUGGGCAACGGUAGGUCAGCAUGCCCCGAAUUACCCGGGCUACACGCGGGCUACAAUGGACAGGACAAUGGGUAUCGACACCGAAAGGUGAAGGCAAUCUCCUAAACCUGCCCUUAGUUCGGAUUGUGGGCUGUAACUCGCCCACAUGAAGCUGGAAUCCGUAGUAAUCGCGUUUCAAAAUAGCGCGGUGAAUCUGUCCCUGCUCCUU
rnacentral:rRNA from 1 species